GCGCGAAACUUUACAAUGCGAGAAAUCGUGAUAAGGGAACCCCGAGUGCCCGUAAAUUCGGGCUGUCCAUCAGUGUAAAAAACUGGUGAAGAAAGGGCCGGGCAAGACCGGUGCCAGCCGCCGCGGUAAUACCGGCGGCUCGAGUGGUGGCCGCUUUUACUGGGCUUAAAGGGUCCGUAGCUGGAUUCACAAGUCCCUUGAGAAAUCUAUCGGCUUAACUGAUAGGCGUUCAGGGGAUACUGUGGUUCUAGGGACCGGGAGAGGUGAGAGGUACUGCCGGGGUAGGAGUGAAAUCCUGUAAUCCCGGUGGGACGACCUAUGGCGAAGGCAUCUCACCAGAACGGCUCCGACAGUGAGGGACGAAAGCUGGGGGAGCAAACCGGAUUAGAUACCCGGGUAGUCCCAGCUGUAAACGAUGCGCGUUAGGUGUGUCAGUGACCACGUGUCACUGAGAUGCCGAAGGGAAACCGUGAAACGCGCCGCCUGGGGAGUACGGUCGCAAGGCUGAAAUUUUAAAGGAAUUGGCGGGGGAGCACCACAACGGGUGGAG
rnacentral:rRNA from 1 species